rnacentral:rRNA from 1 species
CAGCAGCCGCGGUAAUACGUAGGGUGCAAGCGUUAAUCGGAAUUACUGGGCGUAAAGCGUGCGCAGGCGGUUAUAUAAGACAGAUGUGAAAUCCCCGGGCUCAACCUGGGACCUGCAUUUGUGACUGUAUAGCUAGAGUACGGUAGAGGGGGAUGGAAUUCCGCGUGUAGCAGUGAAAUGCGUAGAUAUGCGGAGGAACACCGAUGGCGAAGGCAAUCCCCUGGACCUGUACUGACGCUCAUGCACGAAAGCGUGGGGAGCGAACAGGAUUAGAUACCCCGGUAGUCCCUGUCUCUUAUAC